UACCUGGUUGAUCCUGCCAGUAGUCAUAUGCUUGUCUCAAAGAUUAAGCCAUGCAUGUGCAAGUAUGAACCAAUUUGAACUGUGAACUGCG
rnacentral:rRNA from 1 species